GAAGCUACUAAGAGCUUACGGUGAAUGCCUUGGCGUCAAGUGCCGAUGAAGGACGUGGGACACUGCGAUAAGCCUCGGGAAGCUGUGAACAAGCGAUAUAUCCGGGGAUCUCCGAAUUGGGAAACCAGCUGAUGCGAACCAUCAGCAUCGUGUGAUGAAUACAUAGUCACAUGAAGGGAACCUAGGGAACUGAAACAUCUAAGUACCUAGAGGAAAAGAGACCAUUCCCCAAGUAGUGGCGAGCGAACGGGGAACAGCCCAAACCGAACCAGCAUGCUGGUUCGGGGUUGUAGGGUCCAGCAUAUGAGAGUUACAAAGUGAGACGUUAGCAGAAUUGGUGUGGAAAAGCCAACCACAGAAGGUGACAGUCCUGUACGCGAAAACGUCGAACCUCUCGCUGGAUACCUGAGUACUACCGGGCACGCUAAUCCGGUAGGAAUCUGGGGAGUCCACUCUCCAAGGCUAAAUACGCUUGACGACCGAUAGUGAACAAGUACCGUGAGGGAAAGGUGAAAAGUACCCCUGUUAGGGGAGUGAAAAGAACCUGAAACCGUAAGCUUACAAGCAGUCGAAGGGCUAAUGGCGGGUUGGUGCUAUAGCGAAAGCUUGUGCGCACCGCUAUGCCUGACGGCGUGCCUCUUGGAGAAUGAGUCUGCGAGUUAAUCUUUGUGGCAAGGUUAAGGGAGUGACACCCGAAGCCGCAGCGAAAGCGAGUCUGAAUAGGGCGUGCAGUCGCAAGGAUUAGACACGAAACCAGGUGAGCUAACCAUGGCCAGGUUGAAGCGAGUUUAACCACUCGUGGAGGACCGAACCUACUAAUAUUGCAAAAUUAGGGGAUGAGCUGUGGUUAGGGGUGAUAUGCCAAACGAACUUGGAGAUAGCUUGUUCUCCCCGAAAUAGCUUUAGGGCUAGCGUUAUGCGUUUAGUAACGGAGGUAGAGCACUGAAUGGGCUAGGGGGCUUAUUGCUUACCGAACCUAAUCAAACUCCGAAUGCCGUUACUCCAAGCAUAGCAGUCGGACUCCGGGAGAUGAGUUUCGGGGUCGAAAGGGAAACAGCCCAGACCAUCGGCUAAGGUCCCCAAAUUUAAGCUAAGUGGGAAACGAGGUGAGGUUACUGAAACAACCAGGAGGUUGGCUUAGAAGCAGCCAUCCUUUAAAAAGUGCGUAACAGCUUACUGGUCGAGUGAUCUUGCGCGGAAAAUUUAACGGGGCUAAGCUUAAUACCGAAGCCAUGGAAACGUGCGGAAGCACGUUUGGUAGGGGAGCGUUCUGUCAGCUGGGAAGGUCGACCGUAAGGAUGGCUGGAGCGGACAGAAGUGAGAAUGCAGACAUGAGUAGCGUAAAACACGUGAGAACCGUGUUCGCCGUAUAUCUAAGGUUUCCGACGCCAGGUCAAUCCGCGUCGGGUUAGUCAGGGCCUUAGCUGAGGCCGAAAGGCGUAAGCGAUGGAUAUCCGGUCAACAUUCCGGAACCACUUAAGAUGAGUGAUGGAGGGACGCAACGAGGUAGGCCAGCCUGUGAUUGGUUGAACAGGUGUGCCUUAUGUCAGCCGUUGAGGUUUGUAGGCAAAUCCGCAGACCGAGGUGAGAUAAGGCAGCGAGCCCCUGAGGCGUAAGUGAGUUGAGCCUUGUUGCCAAGAAAAGCUUCUAAACGUUGAUUCUUAAGUGCCUGUACCGCAAUCCGACACAGGUAGAUGGGUAGAAUAUACCAAGGCGAACGGGAGAACCUUCGUUAAGGAACUAGGCAAUUUAGCCUCGUAACUUCGGGAUAAGAGGUGUCUUCUGGCGUAAGUGAAUAAUGAGCGCUGGAAGAUCGCAGUGAAAUGGUUCUAGGGACUGGUUAACAAAACCACAGGUCUCUGCAAAGCCGUAAGGCGAUGUAUAGGGGCUGACACCUGCCCAGUGCCGGAAGGUUAAAGGGAGAGGUUAGUUCCCCUUCGGGGGAACGAAGCUUUGAACUGAAGCCCCGGUGAACGGCGGCCGUAACUAUAACGGUCCUAAGGUAGCGAAAUUCCUUGUCGGGUAAGUUCCGACCCGCACGAAAGGUGUAACAACUAGAACAGUGUCUCGACGAAGGACCCGGCGAAAUUGAAAUGGCUGUGAAGAUGCGGCCUACCCGCAGUAGGACAAAAAGACCCCGUGGAGCUUUACUGCAACUUGGCAUUGAGUUUGGAUUUCAUUUGUGUAGGAUAGGUGGGAGGCUAUGAAACUAGGGCGCCAGCCUUGGUGGAGCCGCCGGUGAAAUACCACCCUGAUGAACUCUAGACCCUAACCUUUAUCCGUAAUCCGGAUAAGGGACCGUGCCAGGUGGGCAGUUUGACUGGGGCGGUCGCCUCCUAAAGAGUAACGGAGGCGCCCAAAGGUUCCCUCAGGCUGAAUGGAAACCAGCCGCAGAGUGUAAAGGCAUAAGGGAGCUUGACUGCGAGACAAACAAGUCGAGCAGAGACGAAAGUCGGGCUUAGUGAUCCCACGGUUCCGUGUGGAAGGGCCGUGGCUCAUCGGAUAAAAGCUACCCCGGGGAUAACAGGCUAGUCAGGUCCAAGAGUCCAUAUCGACGACCUGGCUCGGCACCUCGAUGUCGGCUCAUCGCAUCCUGGGGCUGGAUAAGGUCCCAAGGGUCGGGCUGUUCGCCCGUUAAAGCGGUACGCGAGCUGGGUUCAGACCGUCGUGAGACAGGUCGGUCUCUAUCCACUGUGGGCGUAAGAGAUUUGAGAGGAGCUGCUCCUAGUACGAGAGGACCGGAGUGGACAGACCUCUGGUGUGCCAGCUGUCGUGCCAACGGCAUUGCUGGGUAGCUACGUCUGGCAGAGAUAACCGCUGAAAGCAUCUAAGCGGGAAACUUGCCUCAAGAUUAGAUCUCUAUAAUCCCGUAAAGGGAGUAAGAUCGCAGGUAGACUACCUGCUUGAUAGGCAGUAUGUGUAAGCGCAGUAAUGCGUUGAGCUAAACUGUACUAAUGAUCGAGAGCUUCCAACG
rnacentral:rRNA from 1 species